rnacentral:rRNA from 1 species
UAAUACGAAGGGUGCUAGCGUUGUUCGGAUUUACUGGGCGUAAAGCGCGCGCAGGCUGCCAUUCAAGUCAGGGGUGAAAUGCCGAAGCUUAACUUCGGAACUGCCUUUGAAACUGUAUGGCUAGAAUAUGGGAGGGGAUAGCGGAAUUCCUAAUGUAGAGGUGAAAUUCGUAGAUAUUAGGAGGAACACCGGUGGCGAAGGCGGCUAUCUGGCCCAUUAUUGACGCUGAGGCGCGAAAGCGUGGGGAUCAAACAGGAUUAGAUACCCUGGUAGUCCACGCUGUAAACGAUGAGUGCUAGCUGUUGGGCCCGUAGGGUUCAGUGGCGCAGCUAACGCAUUAAGCACUCCGCCUGGGGAGUACGGUCGCAAGAUUA